rnacentral:lncRNA from 1 species
CGGGGCACUGAUGCCGGACACUCUGGACGGGGCACUGUUGCCGGACACUCUGGACGGGGCACUGUUGCUGGACACUCUGGACGGGGCACUGUUGCCGGAAGCUCCAGACGAGGCACUGUUGCCGGAAGCUCUGGAUGGGGUACUGUCGUCGGAAGCUCUGGACGGGGACUGAGCACUGAAAGCCAGAUGCGUGGGGCUGGCUUAGGAGGUGCCAGCCUAAGGACACGCACCACAGGGCUAGUGCGAGGAGCAGGAGCAGGACGAGCUGGACUGGGCUGACGCACUGGAGGCCUGGUGCGUGGGGCUGGUAGUGGAGGUACCAGACUGGAGACACGCACCCCAAGGCUAGUGCGAGGAGCAGGAACAGGACGAGCUGGACUGGGCUGACGCACUGGAGGCCUGGUGCGUGGGGCUGGUAGUGGAGGUACCAGACUGGAGACAUGCACCCCAAGGCUAGUGCAAGGAGCGGGAACAGGAUACACUGGGCCGUGGAGACGCACUGGCGGUCUCGAACACAGGACUGGCACCACCCGUACUCGCUGGGUGCCUACUUCUCCCUGGCAAAUGCGGGACGCUGGCACCGAGCACACCGGCCUGUUAAUGCUCAGCCUCGACGCCGUGCGCAUCACCCCAUAGCACGGGGCCUGACCAGUAUCACGCUGCCUCCGGUAAGCACGGGGAUUGGCUUGGGGUUCAACCCCGGCCCAGCCAAACUACCCGUGUGCCCCCCCAAAAAAUAUUAUUGGGGCUGCCUCUCACACUGUCCAAUCGGAGUGUAAAAUGUCUCAUAACGUUGCCGUUCCGCCUUGGCUGCCUCUAUCUCCUCCGGUGGGCGACGGUAUUCACCAGCCUGGUGCCAUGGUCCUGCCCCAUCCAGAAUUUCCUCCCAUGUCCAUGAUUCCUUGUAGUCCACAUAGUUCCUCUACUGCUCCUUCCCCCGCUGCUUGGUCCAUUGGUGAUGGGAAGUUCUGUUACGAGUGUCGUACGGAGUAGACCAAGGCGCAGCGGGUUGAGUGCUCAUUCUAACUUUUAUUGAGACACGUAACAAAACAAAACAAGAAAACGUACGAACGCACAGUAUUGCAGGUUACACAGAGCUAUACAAAAACAACUUCCCACAAACCACA